rnacentral:rRNA from 1 species
GUCACGCUGUAAACGAUGAAUACUAGAUAUUGGCAGGAUUUGACCCCUGCAGUGUCGUAGCUAACGCGUUAAGUAUUCCGCCUGGGAAGUACGGUCGCAAGACUAAAACUCAAAGGAAUUGACGGGGGCCCGCACAAGCGGUGGAUUAUGUUGUUUAAUUCGAAGCAACGCGCAGAACCUUACCUAGGCUUGAAAUCCCACGAACCUGGCUUAAACGCUGGGGUGCUCUUCGGAGAAUGUGGUGACAGGCGCUGCAUGGCUGUCGU